UCAAAGGCUCUUUUGCAUACUCCAGGGGGUUACAUACCCCACUAAGAGCCACCAUUUAUUAUUUUUUAAUUUUCU
rfam:Lutzomyia longipalpis Contig34570, whole genome shotgun sequence.